AGUGAACGCUGGCGGUAGGCCUAACACAUGCCAGUCGAACGGCAGCACAGUAAGAGCUUGCUCUUACGGGUGGCGAGUGGCGGACGGGUGAGGAAUACAUCGGAAUCUACUUUUUCGUGGGGGAUAACGUAGGGAAACUUACGCUAAUACCGCAUACGACCUACGGGUGAAAGCAGGGGAUCUUCGGACCUUGCGCGAUUGAAUGAGCAGAUGUCGGAUUAGCUAGUUGGCGGGGUAAAGGCCCACCAAGGCGACGAUCCGUAGCUGGUCUGAGAGGAUGAUCAGCCACACUGGAACUGAGACACGGUCCAGACUCCUACGGGAGGCAGCAGUGGGGAAUAUUGGACAAUGGGCGCAAGCCUGAUCCAGCCAUACCGCGUGGGUGAAGAAGGCCUUCGGGUUGUAAAGCCCUUUUGUUGGGAAAGAAAAGCAGCAGGUUAAUACCCCGCUGUUCUGACGGUACCCAAAGAAUAAGCACCGGCUAACUUCGUG
rnacentral:rRNA from 1 species